rnacentral:rRNA from 1 species
GAAUCUUCCAACAAUGGGCGCAAGCCUGAUGGAGCAACACCGCGUGAGUGAAGAAGGGUUUCGGCUCGUAAAGCUCUGUUGUUAAAGAAGAACACGUAUGAGAGUAACUGUUCAUACGUUGACGGUAUUUAACCAGAAAGUCACGGCUAACUACGUGCCAG